GGGAACCGGGAACCGGGACAGCCGGGGAACGGGGAACCGGGAACCGGGACAGCCGGGGAACGGACAGCCGGGGAACGGACAGCCGGGGAACCGGGAACCGGGAACCGGGACAGCCGGGGAACGGGACAGCCGGAGAACGGGACACAACCGGGGAACCGGGACAGCCGGGGAAUGGAGACAGCCGGGGAACUGGGACAGCCGGAGAAUGGGACACAACUGGGGAACCGGAGACAAC
rnacentral:lncRNA from 1 species